UUCAUCCUUAUUUCCACGUUUCAUUGUGAAAAAUGUCUUUUUCAUUAAUUUUCUCAAUUAAAAAUUACAAAAUGACAACUGUACCUCAUGUUCAAAGAAAAGAAAAAUAAAGAAUAAACUAUAAUCAUACUUCCAAUUUUUUCAAAAAAAAUACAAAUAAGUCUCAAAUAAAUUAAAUUAAAAAUUAGAAAAAGAAAAUCGUCUUCUUUCUAGCUCCCCCCUCUCCUUCACCCAUUUCCCACCUAAUUGCUCCAUUAUCGCAACAAUGGCACCCUUUUUGCAAUCAAGAACACCAUAGCCUUCCUCUUCUUCCCUCUGUUCGACUCCUAUCGUACGCCCUUUUUGCAUUUUCUUUGAUACUACAUUAUAGGGUCACAAAUUCCAGUUGUGAGGGCAAAGAUUUGCAACACCUUUAUGCCCUUGUUGAGUUUGAUAAUGAUGGAAGGAAAAAUCGCCAGCUGGAUUAAAUCGGAACACGAUGUUUUGUGAAAGGAUGAAUUUAUUGUUGUUGUGGAAACUGAUAAAACUAAUAUAGAUGUUGAGACGUUCUACAAUGGAAUAUUGGGGGGCAAUUGUUAUUAACGAAGGAGAGAUGGCUCCUGUUGUUGCGACAAUUAGAAUGUUAGCAGAAAUGGGGGAUGAAUAGCUU
rnacentral:lncRNA from 1 species